rnacentral:rRNA from 1 species
AUUCCAGCUCCAAUAGCGUAUAUUAAAGUUGUUGCAGUUAAAAAGCUCGUAGUUGGAUUUCUGGUCUAAGCGCCUGGCCGGCUCCGCAAGGGGUCGUGCAUGGGUACCUUGGUCCAUCCUCAGGGGAACUGUCACUGGUAUUCAUUUAUCGGUGUUGGGACGCCUGUCGUUUACUGUGAACAAAUUAGAGUGUUCAAAGCAAGGUGUACUUGAAUACAUUAGCAUGGAAUAAUAAGAUAGGACUUUGGUGGUUCUUUUUGAUAUUUUGUUGGUUUGCACGCCAAAGUAAUGAUUAAUAGGAGCAGUUGGGGGUAUUCGUAUUCAAUUGUCAGAGGUGAAAUUCUUGGAUUUAUAGAAGACGAACUACUGCGAAAGCAUUUACCAAGGAUGUUUUCAUCG